GACGAACCGUGCGAACGUUGUUCGGAAUCACUGGGCUUAAAGGGCGCGUAGGCGGGCUGUCAAGUCUGGGGUGAAAUACCGCGGCUCAACCGUGGAACUGCCUUAGAUACUGACGGCCUCGAGGGAGGUAGGGGCGUGCGGAACUGUAGGUGGAGCGGUGAAAUGCGUUGAUAUCUACAGGAACUCCGGUGGCGAAAGCGGCGCGCUGGACCUCUUCUGACGCUGAGGCGCGAAAGCUAGGGGAGCAAACAGG
rnacentral:rRNA from 1 species